UUGGAAUAUAGCGUGUAUAACAUCAGGGCUUCAAACUGUAAAACCAGGUACGUUUGAUUCUGUAGGUACAACUAAGUUGCAAGAUGCUGGCAAAGCUGGUUUGGUCACAAUUCAAGGCAAGAAUUCAACCGUGCUUGGAACUGCACACAUUUGUUAGUGAUUCAAUAGCCAUAAAAAACUUCCGUUGAAGUCCUUUUUCUCUUUUAAUCUAACCUCAUGAAAUGGCGCAGGCGCGUAUCUGUUUAUAACUUUGUUCCCAGAUCAAGCGGAGAAGCUGCUUCAGAUGAGUCUUGCAAGGUAGCCAUUGCAAAGUGAGUCCGGGUUAUACUUUACCCAACUAACAUCCGAGGCAGUCCAAAAUGAUUAUACCACCAAGAUGAUUCCUUACAAAAUUGCUUUAGUCAUCAAGCUGCCAAAUGAUUUUAUCGGCUCUCUAGGAGACCAGCUCGUGAAUAGAGAUGGUGUGUCUAAGAUCAUUAAGCAUCUCUUCCCAAUCGAAGAUUUCUUCUAAACACAAGCCUCCAAGAGUAAUGGUCAAAUCUCUCAUCUACUGGAUAAUCAUGGACUGCAAUGAACCAUAUCUUCUCUGUUGCAGACCCAUUUACCCGGUGGCCCACUACCCGUUACAAGCCCAAUUGCAAAAUAAACCCAAACCCAUCUAAAACCUAACCCAAAACCCGAGCCCAAUUCAUUGGCCCAAGUCAGACUAGGGUUUCAGUCCCUGAAACCCUAACCUAGGAGCCGCCUCUAGGGUCUUUGACCCUUGGCCUUCUGACGCCGCCACGGUCAUGUCGCCACCGCCGCGCCGCACGUCCCAUCACCCCACUUGCACCUGCUCCACCUGCAAAAGAAAGAAGAAAACGCAAGCAGCAAAGAGAAACAAGAAAAAAUAGGAAAUAGAUCAUGUAUGAGGGCUAUAAAAAGCCGAAACAGAGAUGUAAAGGGGACGGCCCCUGUUUUUCAAAAAAGUGAAUAUGAAAUAAAAGGUUGCCAUUUUAUUUUC